rnacentral:rRNA from 1 species
AUUGAACGCUGGCGGCAGGCCUAACACAUGCAAGUCGAACGAGUGGCGGACGGGUGAGUAAUGUCUGGGAAACUGCCCGAUGGAGGGGGAUAACUACUGGAAACGGUAGCUAAUACCGCAUACCAUCGGAUGUGCCCAGAUGGGAUUAGCUAGGAGUGGGGGUAACGGCUCACCUAGGCGACGAUCCCUAGCUGGGCUGAGAGGAUGACCGGCCACACUGGAACGGAGACACGGUCCAGACUCCUACGUGAGGCAGCAGUGUGGAAUAUGGCACAAUGGGCGAAAGCCUGAUGCAGCCAUGCCGCGUGUAUGAAGAAGGCCUUCGGGUUGUAAAGUACUUUCAGCGAGGAGGCGUUACUCGCAGAAGAAGCACCGGCUAACUACGUGCCAGCAGCCGCGGUAAUUC